UCUUAGUUAAAAAACUGAAGGAUUCAGCACCAUCAUGAGAGAUAUAAUACACAGUCUCGAGCUCUCAUACAGGGCCAGUAGAGACUCAGAGGGAUGCUUCAGAGGGAUGCUUACGCCUAGCUGGAGGACCUUGCUCACUGGAGGAACUUGCUCACUUUUGUGAGGGAUGACCAGUGUGGCAUUCUUCUGUUGGCAGUGAAACAAAAUAGAGGGUACACGUUGUUACACACUGUCAGUUUCCAUCAAACAUUUUCUUGUCGCGAAUCGUACACUUCAGUUACCGCUCAAUUUUGUAUAUACUCGAAGUUGUAUGUUUUGAUGUAAUGUGUGCAUAGCAUGUAUGCCCUUCAAUUUAUCCAUACCAAUGGUGUUUUCGA